UACGAAGGGGGCUAGCGUUGUUCGGAUUUACUGGGCGUAAAGCGCACGUAGGCGGAUCGUUAAGUCGGGGGUGAAAUCCUGGAGCUCAACUCCAGAACUGCCUUCAAUACUGGCGAUCUAGAGUCCGGAAGAGGUGAGUGGAACUCCUAGUGUAGAGGUGGAAUUCGUAGAUAUUAGGAAGAACACCAGUGGCGAAGGCGGCUCACUGGCCCGGUACUGACGCUGAGAUACGAAAGCGUGGGGAGCAAACAGG
rnacentral:rRNA from 1 species